GGCUGCGGGCCCAGCUAAGUGGCUUCGUGCGGCGCGGGGCUGCGCAGAGGCCACUGCAACCGGGGCGGUUACUACCAGCCAGGACUGCUGAGGUCGCAAGGACUACACCACCACACCUGGCUUCACAUCCCCCACCCCGGGCCUUUUAAGCCCUUAACAACUCUUCAGGAAAACACUAUACCAUCAGGCCAAGGUGAGAAGUGCUCUGCUCAGACACUGAGCUCUCUAAGGCACCUGUGACGGAGGGAAACACUUCUGGAAUAGAUUGCCAAGACGUGACUAAGGACAACCUCUAGCAUUUAACCUACCUUGUCUCUCCAUGACAAUGACUUCAACUAUGAUUGAAAUCAGUAGAACUUCUGCAACUUAUGCCAACAGCUCUUGAUCUACACCAGGAGGUUCUGGUAGUAUGUACAUGGAAAAUGAAGAUCCACAAAUAAGGAGGCAAAUGAAGAAAAAAUAAAGUAAUAAUACUUGUCUGACAAAUGUAGACCCUUCAAGAGAUGCACUUGAUGACUUGCAGAUGAGAUAAACAAUGAACUUCAUGCCC